UACGUAGGGUGCAAGCGUUAAUCGGAAUUACUGGGCGUAAAGCGUGCGCAGGCGGUUAUGUAAGACAGGUGUGAAAUCCCAGGGCUUAACCUUGGAACUGCAUUUGUGACUGCAUAGCUAGAGUACGGUAGAGGGGGAUGGAAUUCCGCGUGUAGCAGUGAAAUGCGUAGAUAUGCGGAGGAACACCGAUGGCGAAGGCAAUCCCCUGGGCCUGCACUGACGCUCAUGCACGAAAGCGUGGGGAGCAAACAGG
rnacentral:rRNA from 1 species